ACUCCUACGGGAGGCAGCAGUGGGGAAUAUUGCGCAAUGGGGGGAACCCUGACGCAGCGACGCCGCGUGAGCGACGAAGGCCUUCGGGUCGUAAAGCUCUGUUCUUGGGGACGAAUAAAAUGACGGUACCCAAGAAGAAAGCCCCGGCUAACUACGUGCCAGCAGCCGCGGUAAUACGUAGGGGGCAAGCGUUGUCCGGAAUUAUUGGGCGUAAAGGGCGUGUAGGCGGCCAUGUAUGUCAGGUGUGAAAGGCCUCGGCUUAACCGAGGCAUUGCACAUGAAACUGCAUGGCUUGAGUGCAGGAGAGGGAAGUGGAAUUCCUAGUGUAGCGGUGAAAUGCGUAGAUAUUAGGAGGAACACCAGUGGCGAAGGCGACUUCCUGGACUGUAACUGACGCUGAGGCGCGAAAGCGUGGGUAGCAAACAGGAUUAGAUACCCUGGUAGUC
rnacentral:rRNA from 1 species